rnacentral:rRNA from 1 species
CGCGAACGGCUCAUUAUAACAGCUAUAAUUUACUAGACCUUGAGCAACUACUUGGAUACCUGUGGUAAUUCUAGAGCUAAUACAUGCACCGAAGUUGUUCCUUGCGGAGCAAUGCAUUUAUUUGAGCAAAACCAGGCGGCUUCGGCCGUUUCUGUUGAUUCAGAAUAACUAAGCUGAUCGCAUGGGCUUGUCCCGGCGACGUGUCUUUCAAGUGUCUGCCUUAUCAACUUUCGAUGGUAGUGUACGUGACUACCAUGGUGUUGACGGGUAACGGAGGAUAAGGGUUCGACUCCGGAGAAGGGGCCUGAGAAAUGGCCACUACGUCUAAGGAUGGCAGCAGGCGCGCAAAUUACCCACUCUCGGUUCGAGGAGGUAGUGACGAAAAAUAACAAGGCCGUUCUCUUUGAGGCCGGCCAUUGGAAUGGGUACAACUUAAACCCUUUAACGAGUAUCAAUGAGAGGGCAAGUCUGGUGCCAGCAGCCGCGGUAAUUCCAGCU